rnacentral:rRNA from 1 species
UUGAACGCUGGCGGCAGGCCUAACACCUGCCAGUCGAACGGUAACAGGAAGCAGCUUGCUGCUUUGCUGACGAGUGGCGGACGGGUGAGUAAUGUCUGGGAAACUGCCCGAUGGAGGGGGAUAACUACUGGAAACGGUAGCUAAUACCGCAUAACGUCGCAAGACCCAAGAGGGGGACCUUAGGGCCUCUUGCCAUCGGAUGUGCCCAGAUGGGAUUAGCUAGUAGGUGGGGUAACGGCUCACCUAGGCGACGAUCCCUAGCUGGUCUGAGAGGAUGACCAGCCACACUGGAACUGAGACACGGUCCAGACUCCUACGGGAGGCAGCAGUGGGGAAUAUUGCACAAUGGGCGCAAGCCUGAUGCAGCCAUGCCGCGUGUAUGAAGAAGGCCUUCGGGUUGUAAAGUACUUUCAGCGGGGAGGAAGGGAGUAAAGUUAAUACCUUUGCUCAUUGACGUUACCCGCAGAAGAAGCACCGGCUAACUCCGUG